rnacentral:misc_RNA from 1 species
UCAAACUUGGUCAUUUAGAGGAAGUAAAAGUCGUAACAAGGUUUCCGUAGGUCAGUAGUCAUCCGAUUCCUUGGGAGCGACCCCCUACUAACAGUGCCUAGGUGAACCUGCGGAAGGAUCAUUACCGAGUACCGGGCCUCGCCCGUACCCAUACCCAUGUGGAUCAUCAGUGUUGCUUCGGCGGGUCGUGAGCCUGCUCCCCCCGGUCCGCUGGGGUGUACCCGCCGAAGACCUUAACCCGUCGUAACCUGGUUGUCGGAGACCUUAUCAAUUAUCAAAACUUUCAACAACGGAUCUCUUGGUUCUGGCAUCGAUGAAGAACGCAGC